rnacentral:rRNA from 1 species
GUCGAGCGGACAGAUGGGAGCUUGCUCCCUGAUGUUAGCGGCGGACGGGUGAGUAACACGUGGGUAACCUGCCUGUAAGACUGGGAUAACUCCGGGAAACCGGGGCUAAUACCGGAUGCUUGUUUGAACCGCAUGGUUCAAACAUAAAAGGUGGCUUCGGCUACCACUUACAGAUGGACCCGCGGCGCAUUAGCUAGUUGGUGAGGUAACGGCUCACCAAGGCAACGAUGCGUAGCCGACCUGAGAGGGUGAUCGGCCACACUGGGACUGAGACACGGCCCAGACUCCUACGGGAGGCAGCAGUAGGGAAUCUUCCGCAAUGGACGAAAGUCUGACGGAGCAACGCCGCGUGAGUGAUGAAGGUUUUCGGAUCGUAAAGCUCUGUUGUUAGGGAAGAACAAGUACCGUUCGAAUAGGGCGGUACCUUGACGGUACCUAACCAGAAAGCCACGGCUAACUACGUGCCAGCAGCCGCGGUAAUACGUAGGUGGCAAGCGUUGUCCGGAAUUAUUGGGCGUAAAGGGCUCGCAGGCGGUUUCUUAAGUCUGAUGUGAAAGCCCCCGGCUCAACCGGGGAGGGUCAUUGGAAACUGGGGAACUUGAGUGCAGAAGAGGAGAGUGGAAUUCCACGUGUAGCGGUGAAAUGCGUAGAGAUGUGGAGGAACACCAGUGGCGAAGGCGACUCUCUGGUCUGUAACUGACUCUGAGGAGCGAAAGCGUGGGGAGCGAACAGGAUUAGAUACCCUGGUAGUCCACGCCGUAAACGAUGAGUGCUAAGUGUUAGGGGGUUUCCGCCCCUUAGUGCUGCAGCUAACGCAUUAAGCACUCCGCCUGGGGAGUACGGUCGCAAGACUGAAACUCAAAGGAAUUGACGGGGGCCCGCACAAGCGGUGGAGCAUGUGGUUUAAUUCGAAGCAACGCGAAGAACCUUACCAGGUCUUGACAUCCUCUGACAAUCCUAGAGAUAGGACGUCCCCUUCGGGGGCAGAGUGACAGGUGGUGCAUGGUUGUCGUCAGCUCGUGUCGUGAGAUGUUGGGUUAAGUCCCGCAACGAGCGCAACCCUUGAUCUUAGUUGCCAGCAUUCAGUUGGGCACUCUAAGGUGACUGCCGGUGACAAACCGGAGGAAGGUGGGGAUGACGUCAAAUCAUCAUGCCCCUUAUGACCUGGGCUACACACGUGCUACAAUGGACAGAACAAAGGGCAGCGAAACCGCGAGGUUAUGCCUUUCCCACAAUUCUGUUCUCUGUUCGGUUCGCAGUCUGCAACUCGACUGC